rnacentral:rRNA from 1 species
AAAUUAGUCUCGUUGGUGACCAGCGGAGGGAUCAUUACAGAGUUACUACUCCAAACCCAUUGUGAACCUUACCUAUGUUCUGUUGCCUCGGCGGCGUGGUCAGCGCCCCUCUGAAAAGAGGACGAUGCCCUCCCGCCGGCAGCACCAAACUCGAGAAUUUUACAGCGGAUUACAGUUCUGAUUUGAAAACAAAAAAACAAGUUAAAACUUUCAACAACGGAUCUCUUGGUUCUGGCAUCGAUGAAGAACGCAGCGAAAUGCGAUAAGUAAUGUGAAUUGCAGAAUUCAGUGAAUCAUCGAAUCUUUGAACGCACAUUGCGCCCGGCAGUAAUCUGCCGGGCAUGCCUGUCCGAGCGUCAUUUCAACCCUCGAACCUCCGUUUCCUCAGGGAAGCUCAGGGUCGGUGUUGGGGCGCUACGGCGAGUCUUCGCGACCCUCCGUAGGCCCUGAAAUACAGUGGCGGUCCCGCCGCGGUUGCCUUCUGCGUAGUAAGUCUCUUUUGCAAGCUCGCAUUGGGUCCCGGCGGAGGCCUGCCGUCAAACCACCUAUAACUCCAGAUGGUUUGACCUCGGAUCAGGUAGGGUUACCCGCUGAACUUAAGCAUAUCA